AAUUAACUCUUCAUCCACAUCAAUCAAUCAAACUAAAGGAAAAAAAAAAAGAGCAUGGCAAAGCAAUCAACUUCAUCCACUUCCAAGUUUAAGUUGACUCUCUUGGCAUUUCUGAUGCUCACUAUCGUUGCUCCUACAAUCGGCAGGAUGCAACCAACAACUGAGACAAUCCCAAAAGUUAUGAAAACCUUAAUACAAGAACUAGGAAAGGAACAACUUGGUGCUUAUUACAUGCAGGAAACAAUAAUGGCAGCAAAUCAACAACUCGACUUGGAAGAACCAAAGCUCGCAAUGUUCAUUGAACAAAAUCAACUGAAAUGCACAGGACGCCGAGGAUAUUGUGAUAUAAAUAACCCAAAUUGUUGCGAGGGACUUACUUGUCAACGGAUCAAAUAUCCUGAUACCGCUUGCCUCUAAUGCAAUGGUUCGUUAGCAAGGGUACGGUGACUAAUUAGGCGAAAAUCGAGUUAAAUAAAUAAAUCUCCUAUGUUGAGCGCGACGCAACUAACAACCGGGACAAACCCUGAAGUUAUGAAAGCAAUACUACUACAAGAGCUAGGAAAGGAACAAUUUGCUGCUUAUUACUUGAAGAAAAUGGAAUUGGAAGAAGCAAAGCUAGUCAUGGUUGUCGAACAAAAGCCACUUAAAUGCGAGGGAAAAGGAGGCCCUUGUACUUGGGCUGAGUGUUGUCCUGGUCUUUUAUGUGCCUAUGUUUUUCCUAUAGGGAAAUUUGGCACUUGUGUCGAUCGAUAGAUGGUAGAGUAUAAAACAUGUUCCUGGGCCUCAAUCAUCAGCUUAACAUUUUGGUUGAGUUGGUCCAUUAACAUGAUAUCGAAGUAAAGUCACGGGUUCAAAUCUCAUCCGUGUGGAAUAUUCUCAACAGACUCUUAUUAUGUAGUUAUAUAAUGGGGCUUGAUAGAUCGAGUAUAUAUAUAUAAAACAUGUUCCAAUGUAUCAACCAUCAAUUUAAGCUUUUAAUUGAGAUGUACCUUUAAUAAUAGAUGUAGAUUAUUUUGAAUGUAAGUAGUAUGUUUUAUAUAUGUUGAAUGUAUGUGACCGA